AACGAACGCUGGCGGCAUGCCUAACACAUGCAAGUCGAACGAGACCUUCGGGUCUUGUGGCGCACGGGUGCGUAACGCGUGGGAACCUGCCCUUAGGUUCGGAAUAACUCCCCGAAAGGGGUGCUAAUACCGGAUAAUGUCUUCGGACCAAAGAUUUAUCGCCUUUGGAUGGGCCCGCGUUGGAUUAGCUAGUUGGUAGGGUAAAAGCCUACCAAGGCGACGAUUCAUAGCUGGUUUGAGAGGAUGAUCAGCCACACUGGGACUGAGACACGGCCCAGACUCCUACGGGAGGCAGCAGUGGGGAAUAUUGGACAAUGGGCGAAAGCCUGAUCCAGCAAUGCCGCGUGAGUGAUGAAGGCCUUAGGGUUGUAAAGCUCUUUUACCCGGGAUGAUAAUGACGGUACCGGGAGAAUAAGCUCCGGCUAACUCCGUG
rnacentral:rRNA from 1 species